UACGUAGGGGGCUAGCGUUGUCCGGAAUCAUUGGGCGUAAAGCGCGUGUAGGCGGUCCGGUAAGUCCGCUGUGAAAGUCAGGGGCUCAACCCUUGAAUGCCGGCGGAUACUGUCGGGCUAGAGUCCGGAAGAGGCAAGUGGAAUUCCCGGUGUAGCGGUGAAAUGCGCAGAUAUCGGGAGGAACACCUAUGGCGAAGGCAGCUUGCUGGGACGGUACUGACGCUGAGACGCGAAAGCGUGGGGAGCAAACAGG
rnacentral:rRNA from 1 species